UACGUAGGGUGCGAGCGUUAAUCGGAUUUACUGGGCGUAAAGCGAGCGCAGGUGGUUUAAUAAGUCUGAUGUAAAAGGCAGUGGCUCAACCAUUGUGUGCAUUGGAAACUGUUAGACUUGAGUGCAGUAGAGGAGAGUGGAAUUCCAUGUGUAGCGGUGAAAUGCGUAGAUAUAUGGAGGAACACCGGUGGCGAAAGCGGCUCUCUGGACUGUAACUGACACUGAGGCUCGAAAGCGUGGGGAGCAAACAGG
rnacentral:rRNA from 1 species